CUCCUUCAGGAUUUGAAAUGACAUUGGAAGGCACAUAACACGAGUUUUAUUGAGUCAAUCUGUUAUUUAUAAACUCAUAAGGGAUUUUUAAGAGACGUUCAAUGAAAGACGUUCUCAACAGGAAUAAGAUAUUCUAACCUAUUGUCCCAGUUUAUGGCUCAGAUAUAAAUAAUGGGCUAUAAAACCUCAUCUGAAAAUAGUUGCGCAGUGCAUGCUCCGCCGCCAGCCAAUGAAACGCCACCUCUCGGCGCCGCCACGGCCGACAGCACUUCAAAGACGCCACCUUUUCCUCUUUUUUUUUUUUUUUAAAAGAGACCGACCUCUUGGUUGCGCUGGCGCUUAGCACCUUUGUUGGGAACCCCACUCACGGAGCCCGGCAGGUGACCGUCUACCUGCAGAGCGCCAUUCCGGGUCAGGGACGGCGCGCGAUGGGUGUGCUGCGGCCCCAGUGCCAGGCUGCAGAAGGCGCCUUCCUUCUCAGGGCGCAAGGACAGCUUCCCACGGCCGGGCUCUGGGCGCCGCCUCAGAAAAUGUAUUCCUUUCCCAGCGCCAGGGUGGGGGUGAGAAAGCCCACUUCCAAAGGGCUGAGGGCACAGUGUGGGACUCGGUGCAGGCCUCUCGGGCGCCAUUCAGGGGUUCACACGCCGCGCGCAGCCCGCGCGUCUCCGGGGCGCCCGCGCAGAGCCCGGGGCGAGAACAAAGGGGACGCGCCCGCCUCGGUUCCCGGGGGCCGCCGGCCCCGCCCCGCCCCGCCCCCUCGGCCCGCGAAAUGGCGGCCGCGCCACAAAAUGGCAGCCGAGCCGGCCGCCGAUGGAGAAGGAAGGGGCGCCGCGCGGCCAGCCUGAGCACCCUUCGCGCGGCUGCCGGGGGCCUCGGCGCUCCUUCGUGCCGCCCGCCGCCCCGCCCAGCAGCUCGGCCGGCCCUUCCGUGCGGGGGCUGCCUUGGCUCUUCAAACCGCCCGCUCCCCACGGGGCUCCUUCUAAGGGGGUCAAAACGGGAAGGAGCUGAGUCUCGGACCCCUGCUGCCCAGGGCGCCCCUCGGCCGGGCGCGGGAAGGGAGCCCCCCUUUCCGAGGGUCUCCACACUCGCAGCUUUAACUCCAGAUCACAGAGAAGACAGGAAAGGGGGGAUCAAAGAACCCACCCCCCAAAUGAGGGAAAUUAAGGAAAUGGGUGAACAGCCCUCACACCAGUCCUUGGGCAGCCACGCGCGGCCCUGAGCCCACUCCAGAGCGCAGCGAGGAGCCCGGGGCCGGGGCGCGGGGGUCGGCUGGCGCUGCUCCCCGCAACGUAGGUGAGCGCUUCGGGCUUUUCAUCGCUCCGCGCUGCGCUCUCCCUUCCCCCGCGGGGAGGGGCUCGGCCGGGCUGGGCCGAGGGAGGAGCAGCUGCUGCGGUCCCCAUGCCUCCCCCACCCCAGCGUGAGAGUCUCAGUAGGCUCGGGCUUUGCUUUGGCUCUGGCUGGCUUGAUGCACGCAGGGCGGUGGCGGUGUGCUUUUCAUUUUUCGCUUUCUUUCCGUCAAAGGCUCUCUUCCCCGCGCUCCCCACCCCCCAGCUUCCCCAGGGCUCGGUCUUUCCAGAAACUUCUCAGGGAAACUCAGCAAAAAGCCGCAGGCUCGGCCAGCCCCUCCCUCCCAGAGCAUGCGCGACGGGCUGGGCGUCAGGCUCGCCGCGCGCGCGUGGGAGUGUGAGAGUGGUCCGUGCGCGCGCGCGCCGGGCGGGGCGGCUCUCUCACAAUGAAGAGAACAAGUUUUUCUCCCCUCCCCCAAAGUUCCUUCGUUGCGCAAGCGCAUUGGGGCACCUCCCCCUGGCCUUUGAGAGAAGGGGGAGGGGCAGGUCUGAAGUGCUCGAGUUGUUGCUCCGCGCGCCUGCGCACUCGGACGUCUUCGGGGCGCCGUCUUUUCCGCGCUGCCUGUGCCAGCGUCUUUGAUGUGAAGUGCGUGUGAGCAAGUCGGUUGUGCCGUAGUCAGUUUCCUCCACUCCCACUCGCGGAAACUGUAGCUUCUCGAGGGGUUAUUAAUUCUAUACGGCGGGUUUCCUGGAGAUUACCCGUCCCGUUGUGCCUCAGGGCUGAGGUCGGAGUGUGUCUCGUUGGCCCCCUUACCCUCCUGCCGGCGCCAUGUUUGGAACGGCUCCUGACUGGAUUCGGUGACUGGAGUGUGGUGGAGCCUCCUCCAAAUUGGGGAGAACAGCCCUGGGCGAAGGAGGUGGUGGCCGGGCUGGCUGCCAUCAGGCGCUGCCUGCACUUGUUGCUCGCUGAGCCAAAAUAGAGGGGUCCUUUCUUUGGAACGCCGCCCUUGGUCCUCGACACCAGCCUCAGCUCGGGCUGGCCGCUCGGCUUGUCCCCGGUGUGUGGAUGCGGACAAAGAAAGGGCCCGGGCGCACGGCUCUGUCUCUUGGCAGAACCGAGCUUGGAGGGCGGUGACCAUAGUAACCGCACUUACUCUUUCUCAAGGUGCCUUUUGUCUUUUCUCCCCUUUUCCUCUUCCCUUAGGAGUGGUGGAAAUUACUGCCAGGGUUGUAGGUUCUUAACCCCCUCGCCCCCCCAAAGAACCCCUUAUCUUGCCACGUGGUCCACUUCCAUACACUGUUUUGGAAAUGCAGCAGGUUAAGCACGGUCCCCUUUGGCGGGGCGUGGAGGCUUGCCGCUUCCAGUCUGGGCUUUGUUUCCUUGUCACCCUUCCUUCUGAAGGACUUUCGUCUCCCUGGUGGAGAAAUCCCCUUCCUCUUAGCGCGUAACGCACCUUCAAGGGUUAGGGUGCAAAGAGGGAGCUGGUUCGCGAAGGGAGCACGUUGGGGGCUCCGAAAGACUCACGUGGCCGCGGCAGCGGGGCGUUCUGUGGUCGGGAGCUGCGUUUUGGCCCCGAGGCUCUUCGUCGGGGCCGACUUGCCCGCAGGUGCGAGCGCGCUGGGCCGCGCCGAGGCCGAGCCCAUGAAUUUUUCUUCAGCAUGAUUUUAACUGAAGGCUGCAUUCAAGGUGAGAUAUGCCCUUUAUUUCUCUAGCUGCAAGAUGCUGUUUUCUGAAUCCUCUUCUUGUCAGUUGCCCCUUUUAAUGCAAUUGAGCUGAGCCUCUUCUGUUUUUCAUGGUGACACUUUGGUCUUUCCCAAGAGGAUUCAGCUAUUUCAGAGCCUAUCAGGUUUUAAGUGAGUAAUUUACAUCAUAUUUUAAAAUGUGUUUCAAAUUGUGGUUGCUUAUAUUGAAAUUCACGCUUCAUGGAAAAAUGCGCGUCAGUGCAACACUUGACAGCAGCCACGUAUACAAAACUACACAGUUCUUGGGUUUAGGUAAUAGUGUGCUGGCCGUCUGACAUUCCUCGCAUGAUAAUUGUUACAGAGAAAUGGCCAAAUGUAAAAAGGCCAAUCCUACAUCUGAAUAUAGGUUGAUUUGCUUUUUACUUCAACUGAGGAAUCAAUUUCACAAUACUUUUUGUUCUUGAAAAAACUACUCGGAGCUUUGCUGUCUGUGGAACAAAAGAAUUUAAUCAUGCACAGGUAACGCCAGGUGUUAGUGCCAUUGUUUAUGGUGAGCAUAUUUUCCAACUCAAAAUAGCAUAGUUUGAUGAUAAGUUGGCUUUUUUAAGGAAACAGUGAAUGAGACCACACAUUUAAGAUCUUCUCUGUACCUGACGCACCACACCUCUGGUAUUUUACUUCUGAAGAUAAAAUAUGGAAAGGAAAGUUGAGUUGCUGACCAUUCUAAACAAUUCAAUUUUUCUGGACUCAGUCGCCUUAACUUUGUCGGGUUUUCCGGGGGUUCUGUAAAAAAAAAGUUCCACUGUAGGCUUUAAAAGCCCUUAGUCCUGGAAAGGCUGGAGGUCUAAUCCCUUCCUCUACGCAAAUGUUAAUUUAUAGCAAAUCCUCUGAGGAGAACAGUAUUAGACAUGAAACCCUCCCAUCUCGGUCCUAUUCCUGCUAUACCGUAACGAUCAGCAAGAUCCUGCAUAAAAUAAAGUUGCUUAACGUUACAAGCUAAUGACCCUUGGGAGGGAUGGGUCUCUGAAGCCGUCACUGCUUAGCUGGGCGGCGAGAAGGGCGGCCUCUGACUUUCCCAAGCAGGCGGGGAUCCAAGUGCCCGGAAACGGCCGGGAGCUGGCCGAAGGGGGAGCAGGGGAGGAGGUCCCGGCUUCUAGGAGGGAGGCCUCGGCAGCCGCUUUGACACGCAGCCGUGUCAAGACCAACCCUCUUUCUCUCUUUUCUCCUGCCAGGCCAGCACCCAGGACCCCGGCUCCGGCGGCUGGAGGCCGUGCCUGCCUCUGCACGCUCGGCGCCCGGGGCUUGACUGAGCGCCCGCCCCGCGGCCGGCUCCCCGUGAGGCUGCGCGCCUGCGCACCGUGACCGAGCGCGCGAGCGUUCCUCCCCGGCCCCGCGUUCCUCCGUCCUCCGCGCGCCUGCGCGCCGGCUGGGAGGAACUCGGCGUCUCGGCCCGGCGGGCGGGCGGACGCGCG
ensembl:lncRNA